rnacentral:rRNA from 1 species
GAUGAACGCUUGCGGCGUGCCUAAUACAUGCAAGUCGAACGCACAGCGAAAGGUGCUUGCACCUUUCAAGUGAGUGGCGAACGGGUGAGUAACACGUGGACAACCUGCCUCAAGGCUGGGGAUAACAUUUGGAAACAGAUGCUAAUACCGAAUAAAACUUAGUGUCGCAUGACAAAAAGUUAAAAGGCGCUUCGGCGUCACCUAGAGAUGGAUCCGCGGUGCAUUAGUUAGUUGGUGGGGUAAAGGCCUACCAAGACAAUGAUGCAUAGCCGAGUUGAGAGACUGAUCGGCCACAUUGGGACUGAGACACGGCCCAAACUCCUACGGGAGGCUGCAGUAGGGAAUCUUCCACAAUGGGCGAAAGCCUGAUGGAGCAACGCCGCGUGUGUGAUGAAGGCUUUCGGGUCGUAAAGCACUGUUGUAUGGGAAGAACAGCUAGAAUAGGAAAUGAUUUUAGUUUGACGGUACCAUACCAGAAAGGGACGGCUAAAUACGUGCCAGCAGCCGCGGUAAUACGUAUGUCCCGAGCGUUAUCCGGAUUUAUUGGGCGUAAAGCGAGCGCAGACGGUUUAUUAAGUCUGAUGUGAAAGCCCGGAGCUCAACCCCGGAAUGGCAUUGGAAACUGGUUAACUUGAGUGCAGUAGAGGUAAGUGGAACUCCAUGUGUAGCGGUGGAAUGCGUAGAUAUAUGGAAGAACACCAGUGGCGAAGGCGGCUUACUGGACUGCAACUGACGUUGAGGCUCGAAAGUGUGGGUAGCAAACAGGAUUAGAUACCCUGGUAGUCCACACCGUAAACGAUGAACACUAGGUGUUAGGAGGUUUCCGCCUCUUAGUGCCGAAGCUAACGCAUUAAGUGUUCCGCCUGGGGAGUACGACCGCAAGGUUGAAGCUCAAAGGAAUUGACGGGGACCCGCACAAGCGGUGGAGCAUGUGGUUUAAUUCGAAGCAACGCGAAGAACCUUACCAGGUCUUGACAUCCUUUGAAGCUUUUAGAGAUAAAAGUGUUCUCUUCGGAGACAAAGUGACAGGUGGUGCAUGGUCGUCGUCAGCUCGUGUCGUGAGAUGUUGGGCUGAGUCCCGCAACGAGCGCAACCCUUAUUGUUAGUUGCCAGCAUUCAGAUGGGCACUCUAGCGAGACUGCCGGUGACAAACCGGAGGAAGGCGGGGACGACGUCAGAUCAUCAUGCCCCUUAUGACCUGGGCUACACACGUGCUACAAUGGCGUAUACAACGAGUUGCCAACCCGCGAGGGUGAGCUAAUCUCUUAAAGUACGUCUCAGUUCGGAUUGUAGUCUGCAACUCGACUACAUGAAGUCGGAAUCGCUAGUAAUCGCGGAUCAGCACGCCGCGGUGAAUACGUUCCCGGGUCU